AGCCUACGGGAGGCAGCAGUCGGGAAUAUUGCGCAAUGGAGGAAACUCUGACGCAGUGACGCCGCGUGCAGGAAGAAGGUUUUCGGAUUGUAAACUGCUUUAGACAGGGAAGAAAAAAGACAGUACCUGUAGAAUAAGCUCCGGCUAACUACGUGCCAGCAGCCGCGGUAAUACGUAGGUGGCAAGCGUUGUCCGGAUUUAUUGGGCGUAAAGCGAGUGCAGGCGGUUCAAUA
rnacentral:rRNA from 1 species